rnacentral:tRNA from 1 species
CCCCUCGUAGUUCAAUGGACAGAACGGAAGGUUUCUAACCUUCUAAUGCGGGUUCGAUUCCUGCCGAGGGGGCCA